rnacentral:rRNA from 1 species
UACGAGGGGAGCAAGCGUUGUUCGGAAUCAUUGGGCGUAAAGGGCGCGUAGGCGGCCGUACAAGUCUGGGGUGAAAGCCCUCGGCUCAACCGAGGAAUUGCCUUGGAAACUGUAUGGCUUGAGUAUUGGAGAGGAAAGCGGAAUUCCCAGUGUAGCGGUGAAAUGCGUAGAUAUUGGGAGGAACACCUGUGGCGAAGGCGGCUUUCUGGACAAUCACUGACGCUGAGGCGCGAAAGCCAGGGGAGCAAACGGG